GAUGAAGAACGCAGCCAACUGCGAUAAGUAGUGUGAACUGCAGAAACCUUGAACACAGAACAUUCGAAUGCACAUUGCGCCAUUGGAGAUACAUCCUUUGGCACGCCUGGUUCAGGGUCGUUAUCCAAAAGCGCACAGCGUGUGCGUGUACAAAACUGCUUGACCAGCCUGCGUACGGCUGAUCUUGCAUUGGUGGCGUGCGUCCGGGUGGUGGAGAGCCGCGCUAGCAUGGACACGUGUGCAAUUCAGUUUGCGUCCAUGUUCUGCGCGCGGUUGACACUGCCUGCGGCAGCAUUUUAACCCAAAACUCAUCACAUUUUCGACCUGAACUCAGACGUGAUCACCCGCUGAACUUAAGCAUAUCAAUAAGCGGAGGA
rnacentral:misc_RNA from 1 species